rnacentral:rRNA from 1 species
ACGGGAGGCAGCAGUGAGGAAUAUUGGUCAAUGGCCGGAAGGCUGAACCAGCCAUGCCGCGUGAAGGAAUAAGGUCCUAUGGAUUGUAAACUUCUUUUGUAUGAGAGCAAUAAGAACUACGUGUAGUUCGAUGAGAGUAUCAUACGAAUAAGCAUCGGCUAACUCCGUGCCAGCAGCCGCGGUAAUACGGAGGAUGCAAGCGUUAUCCGGAUUUAUUGGGUUUAAAGGGUGCGUAGGCGGUAUGGUAAGUCAGUGGUGAAAUGUCUCCGCUCAACGGGGAAAGUGCCAUUGAUACUGUCGUACUAGAAUUCGGAUGCCGUGGGAGGAAUGUGUAGUGUAGCGGUGAAAUGCUUAGAUAUUACACAGAACACCGAUUGCGAAGGCAUCUCACGAAUCCGACAUUGACGCUGAGGCACGAAAGUGUGGGGAUCAAACAGGAUUAGAUACCCUGGUA